ensembl:lncRNA
GGACUGGGGACAGGGGACUGGGGGACAAGGGACAAGAAACACAAGAGGGGACAAGGGACAGGGGAUAGGGACAGGGACAAGAACAGGGACAGGGGACAAGGACAAGGACAAGGGACAGGGACAGGGACCCACCUUGCGGCGCUUCUCAAAGUUGAUCCAGCCAUCCUGCGGGAGAGGGACAAAGCCAUCAGUCUGGGGACACCCCUGUCCCCAGGGACACCCCACCCCGGCCUUGGGGACACCCCGGUCACCCCCCGCGGGGACGCGUCCCCACCUCCAGCUCGUCCUUCAUGGCCGCGUCCAGCAUCACCAGGUCGCGGAGGAAGGUCCCCAGGUAGGGGACAACCCCCUGGCGGAGAGGGGACAAGAGGUGAGGGCGCGGUGGCCGCCGUCCCCGUUGUCACCCCCCCACCAUCCCCUGUCCCCGUCCCUCACCACGGGGCGCUGAUCCGAGGGGCGGCGUGGCUGGCGGCGUGGGGUGGCGUCCUGCGGGGUGUCCUGGGGGACACAUGGGGACACAUGGGGACAUCAGGGGACAAGGUGGGGAGGUUGGGGACAGGCACGGGGACAGCUGGGUGUGGGGGAGAGGGGACGUGGGGCUGGGAUGGGGACAAGGACAGGGACGGGGAUGGGACGGGGACAGGGACAAGGUGGGGACAGGGAAAGGGAUGGGGACAGGGACAGGGAUGGGAUGGCACAGGGUGGAAAUGGGGACCAGGACAGUGAUGGGGACAGGGAAGGGGAUGGGGCCGUCACUCACCCCUUGGCCUCAGCCACCUCCGGGGAGCUGGGGGCUGCCGAGAGCCCCCCCAUUUCUUCCAGCCUGGGUGGGACACGGGGGGGGAGGGUCAGAGCUACGGGGCCCCCGCCACACGCGGUGUCACCGUGCCGUGUCCCCAAACACACACGGUGUCCCCAAGCCCCCUCUGCAGUGUCCCCAAGCCCCCAAGCAACGUCCCCGAGACCCCAUGCAACGUCCCCAAGCACCCACGAAAUGUCCCCAAGACCCCCCACAAAGCCCCCAGCCCCCCACAACGUCCCCAAGCCCCCAGGCGAUGUCCCCGCGCCCCCACCUGGCGAGCAGCAGGCGCAGGACGUCGUGGGGCUGGGUGAAGGCACGGAAGGUGGCGAGGAAGGUGGGGACGAAGGCUCCGUCCCCGCGGGCCGGGGCCUCCAGCAGGUGCCGCACCAGGCGGGGCAGGGGGGCGGCGCGCAGCAGGCGGGCGGGGGGCGCCCCGGGCCGGGGGGCCAGGGAGAAGACGGCGUCAUCCUCCCGCACCUCCGCCUGCGACGGCACCCGCGCCGCAGGGCAGGGUCACCGGGUGGCACCAUGUGGUACCAUCGCCCCGUGGCACCGGCAUCCCAAUGGCACCCACUGCCCCCCAGUGGCACCCAACACCCCUAAAUGGCACCCAACGCCCAACGGCACCCAUCCCCACCCAACUGCACCCACUGCCCCCCAACGGCACCCAACAGCACCCAUUGCCCCCCCAGCUGAAGUCAUUGACCCCCAAUGGCACCCAUUGCUCCCCAAUGGCACCCAACACCCCCCAAUGGCACCCAACACCCAAUGGCACCCACCACCACCCAGCCACCCCAAUGGCACCCAUUGCCCCCCAAUGGCACCCAACAACUCUAAAUGGCACCCAACACCCAGUGGCACUCAACAGCACCCAACUGCACUCACUGCCCCCCACUGGCACCCAUCGCCCCCCAAUGGCACCCAACACCCCCCAAAUGGCACCCAACACCCAAUGGCACCCAACACCCCCCAAUGGCACCCAACACCUCUAAACAGCACCCAUCACUGCCCAACUGCACCCACUGCCCCCCAAUGGCACCCAACAGCACCCAUUGCCCCCCAGCUGAACCCACUGACCCCAAAUGGCACCCAUUGCUCCCUAAUGGCACCCAACACCCACUGGCACCCAUCACUCCUCAAUGGCACCCAUCGUUCCCCAAUGGCACCCAACACCCAAUGGCACCCAUCACCACCCAACUGCACCCACUGCCCCCCAAUGGCACCCAACGCCCCCCAAUAGCACCCAACGCCCCCAAAUGGUACCCAGCACCCAAUGGCACUCAACAGCACCCAACUGCACCCGCUGCCCCCAAAACGUUCCCAUUGCCCCCCAACUGCACCCAUCACUCCCCGGUGGCACCCAACACCCCCAGUGGCACCCAAUGGCACCCAUCACCCCCUAACUGAACCCAUCACCCCCCAACUGCACCCACUGCCCCCCAAAUGCACCAGUUGCCCCCCCAGUGCUACCCAUUGCCCUGCAAUGGCACCCAACACCCAACAGUACCCCUUGCUCCCCAGUGGCACCCAACAGCACCCAUUGCCCCUAAUGGCACCCACCUGAACCCAGUGCCCCCCAACAGCACCCAUUGCCCCCCAGUAUCACCCAACAGCACCCAUUGCCCCUAAUGGCACCCAACUGAACCCAUUGCCCCCCAGUGGCACCCUAAAGCACCCAUUGCCCCUAACAGCACCCAGCUGAACCC